UACAUCAAUCAAUGUUUAUUUCCCAUUGUUCCAUUUGCAUCAACAACAAAAAAACAAAAACAUUUUCAGUUAUUAUUAUUUUAUUCUUCAGUCCGCUCUAAUACCCUACUAUAAUAUCAACAAGGUCAACAGGUGGUACAAUCCAUUUAAACAAGACACACUUAUACUGCCAUUGUUGAGAAAAGAACCAAACGGUUGUCUUGGAAACCAAACCGUUUGUUUGUUUGUUUGUUUGUUUGUUUGUUUGUUUGGACCAAGAACGGUUGUCUUGGAAACCAAACCGUUUGUUUGGACCAAUGGGGUUCCAGUGACAUCGGACAGAACCAUGAUUCAUUAAACAGGUAGGUAAACACCGUCUACAGAAAAACACUCAUCUAAACGAGGGUUGUUGUUGUACAGUUGAUAGAAAAUCCCCCCCCUCAAAAAACAUACAAAAACACCCUGUUUGUCAAUCAGUAGAAUAUGUUGAUUUUUUCUCAGCCAUUGAAGUUAACUGCACUGUUACUAACUCAAACACAAACCUAAUGGACAGUAAAGUAAAUACUGAGACAUUAUCUAUAGACUAUAUUUCUAUGACAACCACACUCAGUUAUGAACAAUGUCCUUCUCAUUAGCCUGUAAAGGCCACCAUGUACUGUAGUAGCAGUACUUUAGUAUCCAACGCUGUGGGACUGACUGGCUCUCAGCACAGUAGGUUGUCUUUCCAACAGGAAUGUCUCACGAGCCUGAGAAGAAGCAGAGUCAAACUAAUAGAGAUAGUGCACAUUUUAACCUGUGUGUGUGUGUGUGUGUGUGUGUGUGUGUGUGUGUGUGUGUGUGUGUGUGUGUGUGUGUGUGUGUGUGUGUGUGUGUGUGUGUGUGUGAGAAAAUGGUGACUGUAUGGUCAUGGUAACAAUCCUUCUGUGGUUCAGGGCAGGGUGUACAUAGGUGGACAUAGGUGGACAUUGUUGGACAUAGGUGGACAUUAUUGGACAUAGGUGGACAUUGUUGGACAUAGGUAGACAUUGUUGGACAUUGUUGGACAUAGGUGGACAUUAUUGGACAUAGGUAGACAUUGUUGGACAUUGUUGGACAUAGGUGGACAUUAUUGGACAUAGGUAGACAUUGUUGGACAUUGUUGGACAUAGGUGGACAUUAUUGGACAUAGGUAGACAUUGUUGGACAUUGUUGGACAUAGGUGGACAUUGUUGGACAUAGGUAGACAUUGUUGGACAUAGGUAGACAUUGUUGGACAUUGUUGGACAUAGGUGGACAUUGUUGGACAUAGGUAGACAUUGUUGGACAUAGGUAGACAUUGUUGGACAUUGUUGGACAUAGGUGGACAUUGUUGGACAUAGGUGGACAUUGUUGGACAUAGGUAGACAUUGUUGGACAUAGGUAGACAUUGUUGGACAUUGUUGGACAUUAUUGGACAUAGGUAGACAUUGUUGGACAUAGGUGGACAUUGUUGGACAUAGGUAGACAUUGUUGGACAUAGGUAGACAUUGUUGGACAUAGGUAGACAUUGUUGGACAUAGGUAGACAUUGUUGGACAUAGGUAGACAUUGUUGGACAUAGGUAGACAUUGUUGGACAUAGGUAGACAUUGUUGGACAUAGGUGGACAUUAUUGGACAUAGGUAGACAUUGUUGGACAUUGUUGGACAUAGGUGGACAUUAUUGGACAUAGGUAGACAUUGUUGGACAUUGGUAGACAUAGGUGGACAUUGUUGGACAUAGGUGGACAUUGUUGGACAUAGGUGGACAUUGUUGGACAUAGGUGGACAUUGUUGGACAUAGGUGGACAUUGUUGGACAUAGGUGGACAUUGUUGGACAUAGGUGGACAUUGUUGGACAUAGGUGGACAUUGUUGGACAUAGGUGGACAUUGUUGGACAUAGGUGGACAUAGGUGGAUAUUGUUG